rnacentral:rRNA from 1 species
GGGGAAUAUUGGACAAUGGGGGGAACCCUGAUCCAGCCAUGCCGCGUGUGUGAAGAAGGCCUUUUGGUUGUAAAGCACUUUAAGCGAGGAGGAGGCUACCGAGAUUAAUACUCUUGGAUAGUGGACGUUACUCGCAGAAUAAGCACCGGCUAACUCUGUGCCAGCAGCCGCGGUAAUACAGAGGGUGCAAGCGUUAAUCGGAUUUACUGGGCGUAAAGCGCGCGUAGGUGGCCAAUUAAGUCAAAUGUGAAAUCCCCGAGCUUAACUUGGGAAUUGCAUUCGAUACUGGUUGGCUAGAGUAUGGGAAAGGAUGGUAGAAUUCCAGGUGUAGCGGUGAAAUGCGUAGAGAUCUGGAGGAAUACCGAUGGCGAAGGCAGCCAUCUGGCCUAAUACUGACACUGAGGUGCGAAAGCAUGGGGAGCAAACAGGAUUAGAUACCCUGGUAGUCCAUGCCGUAAACGAUGUCUACUAGCCGUUGGGGCCUUUGAGGCUUUAGUGGCGCAGCUAACGCGAUAAGUAGACCGCCUGGGGAGUACGGUCGCAAGACUA